rnacentral:tRNA from 1 species
UUAACCAAAGCCAAAAAGAGGCAUUUCAUUGUUAAUGAAAAUAUUGAAUAUUAAUUCUGGUUAAA